AUUGAACGCUGGCGGCAUGCCUUACACAUGCAAGUCGAACGGUAACAGGUCUUCGGAUGCUGACGAGUGGCGAACGGGUGAGUAAUACAUCGGAACGUGCCCGAUCGUGGGGGAUAACGGAGCGAAAGCUUUGCUAAUACCGCAUACGAUCUACGGAUGAAAGCAGGGGACCGCAAGGCCUUGCGGCGACGGAGCGGCCGAUGGCAGAUUAGGGAGUUGGUGGGAUAAAAGCUUACCAAGCCGACGAUCUGUAGCUGGUCUGAGAGGACGACCAGCCACACUGGGACUGAGACACGGCCCAGACUCCUACGGGAGGCAGCAGUGGGGAAUUUUGGACAAUGGGCGCAAGCCUGAUCCAGCCAUGCCGCGUGCAGGAUGAAGGCCUUCGGGUUGUAAACUGCUUUUGUACGGAACGAAAAGACUUCUUCUAAUACAGGAGGUCCAUGACGGUACCGUAAGAAUAAGCACCGGCUAACUACGUGCCAGCAGCCGCCGUAAGAC
rnacentral:rRNA from 1 species